rnacentral:rRNA from 1 species
UACGUAGGGUGCAAGCGUUAAUCGGAAUACUGGGCGUAAGCGUGCGCAGGCGGUUGUGUAAGACAGAUGUGAAAUCCCCGGGCUCAACCGUGGGAACUGGCAUUUGUGACUGCACAGCUGGAGUGCGGCAGAGGGGGAUGGAAUUCCGCGUGUAGCAGUGAAAUGCGUAGAUAUGCGGAGGAACACCGAUGGCGAAGGCAAUCCCCUGGGCCUGCACUGACGCUCAUGCACGAAAGCGUGGGGAGCAAACAGG